rnacentral:rRNA from 1 species
AUUGAACGCUGGCGGCAGGCCUAACACAUGCAAGUCGAACGGUAACAGGAAGAAGCUUGCUUCUUUGCUGACGAGUGGCGGACGGGUGAGUCAUGUCUGUGAAACUGCCUGAUGGAGGGGGAUAACUACUGGAAACGGUAGCUAAUACCGCAUAACGUCUCAAGCCCAAAGAGCGAGACCUUCGGGCCUCUUUCCAUCGGAUGUGCCCAGAUGGCAUUAGCUAGUAGGUGGGGUAACGGCUCACCAAGGCCACGAUCCCUAGCUGGUCUGAGAGGAUGACCGGCCACACUGGAACUGAGACACGGUCCAGACUCCUACGGGAGGCAGCAGUGGGGAAUCUUGCGCAAUGGGCGAAAGCCUGAUGGAGCAACGCCGCGUGAAUGAAGAAGGCCUUCGGGUUGUAAAGUACUUUUAGUGGGGAGGAAGGGAUGAAAAUGAAAAUCUUCGCUCAUUGACGGUACCCGAAGAGAAAGCCCCGGCUAACUACGUG